GUGCAGCUGCCGAGUCGUAAAAAGGACGAAACGCGCGUCCUGGAU
rnacentral:hammerhead_ribozyme from 1 species